rfam:Picea glauca, whole genome shotgun sequence.
AUGUAAUGUAAUGCCUACAAUGUUAAUGCAUUGGAUCCCAUUAGAACUCUAUAGUUAAGAUCUUUUGGGCUAGAGUAGUACUAGGAUGGAUGAGCUCCCAGGAAGUCCUAGUGUUUUACAUG